rnacentral:misc_RNA from 1 species
GUCGGCCUUGUGAAAAAAAAAAAAAAAAAAUUACGCAUCUUGUCUAGGAUUUAUAAAUCAAGUGUAAACUUACGUUGAACAAAUACAGAAAUAUUUAAUUCCCAGACGCAAGCCCUGAAAUAAUAUUGUAACAGAUCAUGGCCAUGAUCAGGUACAUCAAGGCGGAGUCUACAUCCGGGAAUCUCUGAAUGCCACGAAGAACACGAUGUACUCUAUCUAUUUGGAUGACCUACUGGAGGUGUUGGACUUAAAACGCGUCGUCAUGAAGAUCGACGUAGAGAGACACGAGGCCAAGAUUCUGGAAAAGGCUGACGAAUUCUUCAAGAAAGUAGACGUCACAUGCGUUAUGAUGGAAUGGGAACGCCAUCCCAGAAACCCGGAUGCAUAUCAAAUGAUGGUCUUCAUGGCCAGACAUCAUAUACUGGGAUUUGACCCCCAGGACUUCAGCAAGUCGCUAGAUGCUUUCACCUUCGCCAAAUGGCCCCGAAACGUCAUGUGGCGUAAGGUUCGCGACUAUGGACUGUGGACAGCUAGAUAUGAAAUUAAUAGUGUGUUUGUGAGUGGGCAUACUGGAAUAUAUAUCUUUCCUAUUUUCUCAAUCGA